rnacentral:rRNA from 1 species
AACGAACGCUGGCGGCAGGCCUAACACAUGCAAGUCGAGCGCGCCCUUCGGGGUGAGCUGCGGACGGGUGAGUAACGCGUGGGAACGUGCCCUUUUCUACGGAAUAGCCUCGGGAAACUGAGAGUAAUACCGUAUACGCCCUUUGGGGGAAAGAUUUAUCGGAAAAGGAUCGGCCCGCGUUGGAUUAGGUAGUUGGUGGGGUAAUGGCCUACCAAGCCGACGAUCCAUAGCUGGUUUGAGAGGAUGAUCAGCCACACUGGGACUGAGACACGGCCCAGACUCCUACGGGAGGCAGCAGUGGGGAAUCUUAGACAAUGGGGGCAACCCUGAUCUAGCCAUGCCGCGUGAGUGAUGAAGGCCUUAGGGUUGUAAAGCUCUUUCAGCUGGGAAGAUAAUGACGGUACCAGCAGAAGAAGCCCCGGCUAACUCCGU